CAGCUGUAAACGAUGCAGGCUAGGUGUUUGGACGGCCACGUGCCGUUCUAGUGCCGCAGGGAAGCUGUUAAGCCUGCCGCCUGGGGAGUACGAUCGCAAGAUUGAAACUUAAAGGAAUUGGCGGGGGAGCACCACAAGGGUGAAGCUUGCGGUUUAAUUGGAGUCAACGCCGGAAAUCUCACCGGGAGCGACAGCAGUGUGAAGGCCAGAUUAAAGGUCUUGCCAGACGAGCUGAGAGGAGGUGCAUGGCGUAGUCGUGU
rnacentral:rRNA from 1 species